GCCGUAAGUGGGCCAGGAACUAAGAUGCACUAAGAUAAACACGGUCAUCAGGAAGGGUACACAGCACUGAUCCCUGGAUGCUGCACAGAUCUCACUCAGCAGCGCUCAGCAUCAUACCCAGUUCGCUCUCCUGGGACAGACAUCAAGUACAACAAACAAUGACCACUGAGUUAGAAAACCAUUCCAAGCCCAAAGCAGAAGUAAGAUGACUAAGGAAAGAGGCGCAGUCUGUAAGCAGCAGAGAUAAAAUAACAGUUUACUCUACCACAUCUUCCAAGAAGGUGACACGAGAAGUAAAAACAAGUUAGUUAAUACGGUGAC